CCUACGGGAGGCAGCAGUGGGGAAUAUUGCACAAUGGGGGAAACCCUGAUGCAGCGACGCCGCGUGAGCGAUGAAGUAUUUCGGUAUGUAAAGCUCUAUCAGCAGGGAAGAAAAUGACGGUACCUGACUAAGAAGCCCCGGCUAACUACGUGCCAGCAGCCGCGGUAAUACGUAGGGGGCAAGCGUUAUCCGGAUUUACUUGGUGUAAAGGGAGCGUAGACGGCGAUGCAAGCCAGAUGUGAAAGCCCUGGGCUCAACCCCGGGACUGCAUUUGGAAAUGUAUAGCGGGAGUGUCGGAGAGGCAGGCGGAAUUCCUAGUGUAGCGGUGAAAUGCGUAGAUAUUAGGAGGAACACCAGUGGCGAAGGCGGCCUGCUGGACGAUGACUGACGUUGAGGCUCGAAAGCGUGGGGAGCAAACAGGAGUAGAUACCCCAGUAGUC
rnacentral:rRNA from 1 species